UACGGGGGGAGCAAGCGUUGUUCGGAUUUACUGGGCGUAAAGGGCGCGUAGGCGGCGUGACAAGUCACUUGUGAAAUCUCCGGGCUUAACUCGGAACGGUCAAGUGAUACUGUCGUGCUAGAGUACAGAAGGGGCAACUGGAAUUUACGGUGUAGCGGUGAAAUGCGUAGAUAUCGUAAGGAAGACCAGUGGCGAAGGCGGGUCUCUGGACAGUUCCUGACGCUGAGGCACGAAGGCCAGGGGAGCAAACGGG
rnacentral:rRNA from 1 species